rnacentral:rRNA from 1 species
GGGGAUGACGUCAAAUCAUCAUGCCCCUUAUGACCUGGGCUACACACGUGCUACAAUGGGAAGUACAACGAGUUGCGAAGUCGCGAGGCUAAGCUAAUCUCUUAAAGCUUCUCUCAGUUCGGAUUGCAGGCUGCAACUCGCCUGCAUGAAGCCGGAAUCGCUAGUAAUCGCGGAUCAGCACGCCGCGGUGAAUACGUUCCCGGGCCUUGUACACACCGCCCGUCACACCACGAGAGUUUGUAACACCCGAAGUCGGUGAGGUAACCUUUUUGGAGCCAGCCGCCUAAGGUGGGAUAGAUGAUUGGGGUGAAGUCGUAACAAGGUAGCCGUAUCGGAAGGUGCGGCUGGAUCACCUCCUUUCUAAGGAA